rnacentral:rRNA from 1 species
GAUGAACGCUGGCGGCGUGCCUAAUACAUGCAAGUCGAGCGAACAGACGAGGAGCUUGCUCCUCUGACGUUAGCGGCGGACGGGUGAGUAACACGUGGAUAACCUACCUAUAAGACUGGGAUAACUUCGGGAAACCGGAGCUAAUACCGGAUAAUAUAUUGAACCGCAUGGUUCAAUAGUGAAAGACGGUUUUGCUGUCACUUAUAGAUGGAUCCGCGCCGCAUUAGCUAGUUGAUAAGGUAACGGCUUACCAAGGCGACGAUGCGUAGCCGACCUGAGAGGGUGAUCGGCCACACUGGAACUGAGACACGGUCCAGACUCCUACGGGAGGCAGCAGUAGGGAAUCUUCCGCAAAGGGCGAAAGCCUGACGGAGCAACGCCGCGUGAGUGAUGAAGGUCUUCGGAUCGUAAAACUCUGUUAUUAGGGAAGAACAAAUGUGUAAGUAACUAUGCACGUCUUGACGGUACCUAAUCAGAAAGCCACGGCUAACUACGUG